UACUGUUUCAGUUACUUUUCUGUUGCUGAGAUAAAACACUGGCCUGAAUGGGAGAAGAUGCAUCUGGACCUGCAGAAAUAGAUAUGCCAGUGUUAGGUGAUAUCGGGGGUAGGGCACCUUCUCAGAGGAGAAUGGGACGGGGUAUGGGGGACCGAUUCUGUGAGGGGGGACCAGGAGAGGGCAGCAUUUGGGAAGUAAAUAAAUAAACUACCAUGACCAGGUGCAGAGCAGGAUGAGGAAAUCGGCUAAUUAAGCCAAAAACAGCCCCUUGAGUGAACCAACCAAUGCCUGAUGAGAUCCUUUGUCCUGUGUUCCACUAAUCAGAGUAUAAGCCAGCUAACUCUGUUGCUGAGGUCUGACCUCUGUAAAGUACAAAAGACGUGUGCUUUUUGAGUUCGAGGUUGCCUCUCCCUGUGAGGAUGAGCAACCCCAUGCGCAUGGAUCAAUAAACCUCUUACCAUUG
rnacentral:lncRNA from 1 species